rnacentral:rRNA from 1 species
UGCGGGGGUGAUUAGUGGCGAACGGGUGAGUAAUACGUGAGUAACCUGCCCUUGACUCUGGGAUAAGCCUGGGAAACCGGGUCUAAUACUGGAUACUACUUCCUGCCGCAUGGUGGGGGGUGGAAAGGGUUUUACUGGUUUUGGAUGGGCUCACGGCCUAUCAGCUUGUUGGUGGGGUAAUGGCUCACCAAGGCGACGACGGGUAGCCGGCCUGAGAGGGUGACCGGCCACACUGGGACUGAGACACGGCCCAGACUCCUACGGGAGGCAGCAGUGGGGAAUAUUGCACAAUGGGCGGAAGCCUGAUGCAGCGACGCCGCGUGAGGGAUGACGGCCUUCGGGUUGUAAACCUCUUUCAGCAGGGAAGAAGCCACAAGUGACGGUACCUGCAGAAGAAGCGCCGGCUAACUACGUGCCAGCAGCCGCGGUAAUACGUAGGGCGCAAGCGUUGUCCGGAAUUAUUGGGCGUAAAGAGCUCGUAGGCGGUUUGUCGCGUCUGCUGUGAAAGCCCGGGGCUCAACCCCGGGUCUGCAGUGGGUACGGGCAGACUAGAGUGCAGUAGGGGAGACUGGAAUUCCUGGUGUAGCGGUGAAAUGCGCAGAUAUCAGGAG